ACCCCUAUGUUCAUUGCAGCACUAUUUACAACAGCCAAGACAUGGAAACAGCCUAAAUGUCCGUCAACAGAGGAAUGGAUUAAGAAAUGUGGUACAUAUAUACAAUGGAAUACUACUCAGCCCUAAAAAGGACAAAAAUAAUGCCAUUCGCAGCAACAUGGAUGCAACUAGAGAUUCUCAUACUAAAUGAAGUCAGUCAGAAACAGAGAGACAAAUACUAUAUGAUAUCAGUUAUAUUUGGAAUCUAAAAUAUGGUACAAAUGAUCCUAUCUACAAACGGAAAGAUCAUGGACAGGGAGAGCAGACUUGUGGUUGCUGGGGUGGGGUGGAGGGGAAGUGGGAUGGACUGGGAGUUUGGGGUUGGUAGAUGCCAACUAUUACACUUGGAAUGGAUAAACAACCAUGGAUUCUUACUGUAUGUAUGACUAGGUCCCUGUGCUGUAUAGCAGAACUUGACACAACACUGUAAAUCUACACUCUAAUAAAAGAAGUCAUCUGCAGAAAAGAAGAGAAACAAGUAUAGAAAGUGGUUGUUUUCUUACUUUUCCUUUUCUAGAAGAGGGCGGCAUCUAUUUGCACUGCUCUCAUCUGGCAGUGGUUAACACUGGUGAAAGAAGUGUGGGUGAGAUUAAGCUGUAAGAUAUUUCCAAUUAAAGUCAGGAAUGACAAAGUGAUGGAUGUGAUAAAACAAGACCAGUGGUUGUGAGAGGACAUUCAUGAGAGAAUGAGUAACCUCUUGGAGGCUGACCUCUUAGGAUCUCCAUAUCCCUAAAGUGUCUUGCUUUGCUUUUAUCUAAUAUGGAGUCAACAUCAAUCCACUUACCUUAAACUUUUUAAAAGCUAUUAGCAUUUUCAGUGUGACCAUCUCCUGAGGAAGAACAUGCAGUAGGUUUUCCAUGCAGGCAAAACUGUUGUCCUAAAGGACACUUUUUGAUCUUUAAGAAAGAGCUCCCAAUCUCAUACUCUGGAAUCAGUCAGAACCAAAAUAAUAUUCCUCCAACCAAAUCCUUCAUGACUUAAUGGACUUUCACAGUAUUCUCUCUAAAAUUUUAAGAUCCUUACUCUUAAGGAAUAAUAAUUUUAGCUUGACUUCAUAACCAUAGGUUUCCCUCCACUUAACCUUUUGUUCCUGUUCAUUAAUCUUAUUUCAAUAGCAUAUCUAUUUUCAGUUCUUGGAAAAUUAACUGGUUAUGACUCAAACAUUUUACUGGGUAGUUCCCAUUCACCAAAUCCAUAGCUAUGAACUGCCUCCUUUUCUCUAUCCCGUGAGGUGUGUGGGAGCCGGGUUACCAGUCCCUGAGAUUUUAGGCUUUUGAAUAAAGAGCUAAUCUCAAAACAUGUGAUUAUAAUCUGAGAAUAAACAGAAAAGGGAGUCUGAAGCUACUGCUAUUCAGCUCGGUGAGCUGAACAAGAUACAGAGGUUUAACUGAGAGAGAAACUAUGGCAACAUGUGUUCAGCUCUUUUCCAGGUUCCUGUGUGAUUCUUCUUCUGCAGAUUCCCUCAAAGCUACAAUCCAUUAUUCUCAGAGAGCUCUUCAUCUUUCCCAGGAGGUUUCCAUUUCCAGUCUAAGAAAUGCCCUGAGUUAUUUCCAGCUGCUCAGGGUUGGCAGCACAAUCGUCUCGUCAUCAACUGUGUCUCCUCUGGACUCUCAUGUCCCAUGUGUGCCUUGGCCACAAUCUUCUCAGACCACUUCUCUGGGAAUUGAUGUUUGCAACCUCAUUCAGAGCCAAGAGGUAGAAAAACAAAUCAGAGCAUCUAGUGCCCAGCAAAGCAAAGGAUUGUGACAACUCCUAUCAGUUGGUUAAUGCUCUCUAAAGAUAUUACUUUUCCUCUCUUACUCAAGGAGUUUACAAAAAUGGCGGUUCUUUUUGGUAUCAAAAGAAUGCGCAGAUGUUUCCAAAACAAAAUUAAAAAAAAAAAACAAAAAACAAAAAUGACUCAUUUAAAACGAUGACACAAAGUUGUUUUAAACUGACUACAGAUAAUAAAUAACACUUUACAAAAUCCUCCUCCCAUCAAUUAUCGGGAAAUUGCAAGAAAUAAAGUACUCUGAGGAAAUGAGUUUUCAGAUGAACUUUAUGCCAGUUUUAAAAAGGUUACUUCAACCAUUUUGUGCUUAAAAUUUUCUCAAAUAUAGUAAACAAUAGUUUUUGAUUUUUUUUUUUUUGGUCUUUUUUUUUUAAGGGCCGAACCCAUGGCAUAUGGAGGUUCCCAGGCUAGGGGCCAAAUUGGAGCUGUAGCCACCGGUCUACGCCAGAGCCACAGCAACUCGGGAUCUGAGCCAUGUCUGCAAUCUACACCACAGCUCACGGCAACGCCGGAUCCUUAACCCACUGAGCGAGGCCAGGGAUCGAACCCUCGUCCUCAUGGACCCUAGUCAGGUUCGUUAACCACUGAGCCACGAAACGGGAACUCCCUUGUCUUGCUAUUUUUUAAAAAAUCUAUUUUUCAUGUAAUUCAGAGCUUGUAAGCUUACAGAUUGUAGGCCCUGUAAGAUUAAAUGAGAUUCUAAAAUGGGGCCAAAGAGUCAUCAUUAUUAAUGAAAAGAAAGUUAAUAAUGAAACAUAAAACACAAAGAAAGGAGAGUUCCUUUCAAGGCUAAGAUGGCUGUGUUUUACAGCCCAGGGCAAUGGACUUGAAUUGUUAAGACCUCUAUGCAGUGUAACCCUGUGGCUUCAGGCAUAUCGCUCAACUCUAAGUCUCAGUUUCCUCAUCAAUAAAAUGUAGAUUAGAGCAUCCACAUCAGAAGGUCACUGUGGAGAAUAAAUUCAAUAACACACAUAUAAAAGUGACUCAAAGAUUCAAGUACUAUGUAAAAACUGAAUACUUUAAAACAUUUUCAUUAAUAAAUUUUGGCAUCCUUCACCUUGGUAGGCACCAAUUUUUCCUUCUGACUUUUUACCUUGACUAUUCCUAUCAUUCAUUCCUUUUUAAUAAUAACAUUUAAACAACAGGAAAAGAUACGAUUAAUUCAGCAAAUAUUUUUGAAUGAGCUCAAUGUCCCAAGCACUGUUGGUUUUCAAGGAAAACAAAUAUGAAUCAGAAAACGUUUCCUCACUUUUCUGAAUCUGGAUGGGUCAACCUCUUACCACGGUUUGUUACCGGCAUAUAAACUCAGCAACUGUAAUAUCUUUGGGGUUUUUUUUGGCUACGCCCAUGGCAUGUGGACAUUCUUGGGCCAGGGAUUGAGCCCAUGCCACAACAAUGAUCCAAGCUGUUGCAAUGACAAGGCCAGAUCCUUAGCCUGCUGCACCACAAGGGAGCUCCUCAGUAACUGUAAUACAUAAAUGAAAAACUGACCAGGAGAAACCCCCAAACCACUUAAAUCAAACUCUGCCUAUUCCACACCUGCUCCCCGACGCUGGGCUGCUGGUCUUGAAUGGGAAAAGCAUGCAACCAUCAUGCCCACUAACCUCAAGUGGACUCUCAGGGUCGCCAGGCAAUCAUGUUACGUUACCCAGUCCACUCAGGCGCAGAGGUCUGUCUUCUCUCUCCUCUGAUCUCCUCAUCGCUUUUCCUUCCUUGAUCUUAGCUAAUACCUCACUUCCCAUUUCCUUGGUAAAUGAGAAGCAAUCAAGGAAAGACUUCAGCAAGCUCCUACUAGCAAAGCUACUGAACUAAUUCCACCUGCGUCCCCACACGCUGGCUUUCCUCCUACUGCUAAGGAGCCGUCUCCCCAGCUUCAGGUGGAUGCCAACCU
rnacentral:lncRNA from 1 species